AGUAACUGCGAGUGAAGCGGGAAAAGCUCAAAUUUAAAAUCUGGUGGCCUUUGGCCGUCCGAGUUGUAAUUUAGAGAAGCGUCUUCCGCGCUGGACCGUGCACAAGUCUCCUGGAAUGGAGCGUCAUAGAGGGUGAGAAUCCCGUCUUUGGCACGGACACACCAGGGCUUUUGUGAUGCGCUCUCGAAGAGUCGAGUUGUUUGGGAAUGCAGCUCAAAAUGGGUGGUGAACUCCAUCUAAAGCUAAAUAUUGGCGAGAGACCGAUAGCGAACAAGUACCGUGAGGGAAAGAUGAAAAGCACUUUGGAAAGAGAGUGAAACAGUACGUGAAAUUGUUGAAAGGGAAACGCUUGAAGUCAGUCGCGUCGGCCGAGACUCAGCCUUGCCUUGGCUUGGUGUACUUCUCGGCUUGACGGGUCAGCAUCAAUUUUGCCCCUUGGAUAAUGGCGAGGGAAAUGUGACACCUUUACGGUGUGUUAUAGUCUCUCGUCGCAUGCAAGGGUUGGGAUUGAGGAACUCAGCACGCGCCUUUGGGUGUCGGGGCUUUGCCCACGAUACGUGCUCAGGAUGUUGGCGUAAUGGCUUUAAACGACCCGUCUUGAAACACGGACCAAGGAGUCUAACAUGCCUGCGAGUGUUCGGGUGGAAAACCCGUGCGCGCAAUGAAAGUGAAAGUUGGGACCUCUGUCGUGGAGGGCACCGACGCCCGGACCAGACCUUCUGUGACGGCUCUGCGGUGAAGCAUGUAUGUUAGGACCCGAAAGAUGGUGAACUAUGCCUGAAUAGGGUGAAGCCAGAGGAAACUCUGGUGGAGGCUCGUAGCGAUUCUGACGUGCAAAUCGAUCGUCAAAUUUGGGUAUAGGGGCGAAAGACUAAUCGAACCAU
rnacentral:rRNA from 1 species